GAGGGUAUAGCUCAAGUGGUAGAGCGUAUGCUUAGCAUGCAUGAGGUCCAGGGUUCAAUCCCCAGUACCUCCU
rnacentral:tRNA from 1 species